AGACUAACAAUUAAAUGAAACUGCUCAUUUAGGCCCUGUUUACCUAAAUAGCUCUACGCCGUAGGCCGAUGUAGUCUGUACAAAAUUCGCUUGUCGCGACACCCAGUUUUACAGUUGCAAAAUACCCGGAAUUUUUGAAAAUUGCGACUAUACGAUAAAAUAAAACAAAGAUUGUGAAAGGGAUAAAAUUUGUAGGCAAGCAUUGGUGUCCGGUGAUCGAAGCGAACCGUAUAUUCCUGUACAUGCAGCGUAAACAGGUAAUUAAUACCCGAGGUUUUAUAUUUGUGUUUAUUUAUAUCGAACUAAGUCAGACCUAAGAGCAUAAUUAUUUAAACCAAAUAUUAAAGGCAAUAGCCAUGUUGUUAAAGACGAGAGAAACCAAAUUUCGUGUGAAUCACCACUUGGAGACGCCUAGCUAGAUGCAGCUUGGAAAUCGUGUUCAGAUACAGUUGUGGCUUUGCCUGUCACUGUGGUUGAAAAUCUCCAGAAAUAUCGGUAAUUGCGCCAAACUUCGCUACACAUAAAUAAUAUCGAUUUUAGCUGUUUAUUUGUUUCGAAGACUUGUGUAUAAUUUCCAGUUAAGAAUAUCUCGCCACUCCUUGACGAGUAGCUGUCAAAUAUAUCCAUAUUUUGGUAGACACGUGACCGGCCCAGACCAGGGCUUUCUCGUCUCUCCGCCUCGCCCUCAUACGAAAGCCCUGGGAACGAGGUUGCGAUAAAUUAUUCUAUGUGUUCAACAUAUGAAUUACGAGAACCACCGCCACACGCUACGCACGCGCUACCCGUCACCCGCUACCCGUUACCCGCCACCCGCGGAAAAUACCUGCCGCUGUCUAGACCAUGUAUUAUAAUAGCCCGCAGGCCCCGCCCCG